AGGUGCCACCUGCCCAGUGACCCCCUCCCCCCCUUCAACGGCCGCGGUAUCACUAACCGUGCAAAGGUAGCAUAAUCACUUGUCCCCUAAAUAGAGACUUGAAUGAACGGUCAAAUGAGGGCCAAACUGUCUUUUGAGGUCAAUCAAUGAACCUGAUCUUUCAGUACAAAAGCUGAAAUAAACACAUAAGACAAAAAGACCCUGUGGAGCUUUAAAUAAGGACCAUUUUUAAAUGGCCCUAUUUUUAGUUGGGGUGACUAUGGAAUAAAGUAAAACUUCCACGCAUAGGACCUACUGUCCCAGAAAGAUUCUACGCAUCAAUAUGAUAAUUUUUGAUCCAGAUACUGACCAACGAACCAAGUUACCCCAGGGAUAACAGCGCAAUCCUCUUCAAGAGCCCAUAUCACCAAGAGGGUUUACGACCUCGAUGUUGGAUCAGGGCCCCCAAGUGGUGCAGCCGCUACUUAAGGUUCGUUUGUUCAACGAUUAAUGCCCUACGUGAUCUGAGUUCAGACCGGA
rnacentral:rRNA from 1 species